rnacentral:rRNA from 1 species
UCGAGCGGAGAUCUUUGAAGUAGUAAUACGGAAAUUUAUCUUAGCGGCGGACGGGUGAGUAACACGUGAGGAACCUACCUUCUACUGGGGAAUAACACCGUGAAAACGGUGCUAAUACCGCAUAAUGUUGCACCAUGGCAUCAUGGAGCAACCAAAGGAGCAAUCCGGUAAAAGAUGGCCUCGCGUCCGAUUAGUUAGUUGGUGGGGUAAUGGCCUACCAAGACAGCGAUCGGUAGCCGGACUGAGAGGUCGAUCGGCCACAUUGGAACUGAGAGACGGUCCAGACUCCUACGGGAGGCAGCAGUGGGGAAUAUUGGGCAAUGGGCGAAAGCCUGACCCAGCAACGCCGCGUGAAGGAAGAAGGCCUUCGGGUUGUAAACUUCUUUGAUCGGGGACGAAAAAAAUGACGGUACCCGAAAAACAAGCCACGGCUAACUACGUGCCAGCAGCCGCGGUAAUACGUAGGUGGCGAGCGUUAUCCGGAUUUACUGGGUGUAAAGGGCGUGUAGGCGGUUUUUCAAGUCGGAUGUGAAAUUCCCAGGCUUAACCUGGGCGCUGCAACCGAAACUGAGAAACUUGAGUACUGGAGAGGAUAGUGGAAUUCCUAGUGUAGCGGUAAAAUGCGUAGAUAUUAGGAGGAACACCGGUGGCGAAGGCGACUAUCUGGACAGUAACUGACGCUGAGGCGCGAAAGCGUGGGGAGCAAACAGGAUUAGAUACCCUGGUAGUCCACGCCGUAAACGAUGGAUACUAGGUGUAGGGGGUAUCGACCCCCCCUGUGCCGGAGUUAACACAAUAAGUAUCCCACCUGGGGAG